rnacentral:rRNA from 1 species
CAAUAGCGUAUAUUAAAGUUGUUGCAGUUAAAAAGCUCGUAGUUGGAUUUCUGGUGGGAGCGAUCGGUCUGGCGCUUAGAGCGAGUACUUGCAUCGUCUCCGGCCAUCCUUGGGGAAAGUCUGUCUGGCAUUAAGUUGUCGGGCAGAGGAUCCUCAUCGUUUACUGUGAAAAAAUUAGAGUGUUCAAAGCAGGCUUAUGCCGUUGAAUAUAUUAGCAUGGAAUAAUAAGAUAGGACUUUGGUACUAUUUUGUUGGUUUGCGCACCAAAGUAAUGAUUAAUAGGGACAGUUGGGGGUAUUCGUAUUCCGUUGUCAGAGGUGAAAUUCUUGGAUUUACGGAAGACGAACUACUGCGAAAGCAUUUACCAAGGAUGUUUUCAUUAA